rnacentral:rRNA from 1 species
CGCCUUUUGUAGAAUGAACCGGCGAGUUGCGUUAGUCAGCAAGGUUAAGUCAGAAAAGACGGAGCCGUAGCGAAAGCGAGUCUGAAGAGGGCGAGCAGUUGGCUGACGCAGACCCGAAACCAAGUGACCUACCCAUGACCAGGUUGAAGGCGCGGUAAAACGCGCUGGAGGACCGAACCCACGUAAGUUGAAAAUUGCGGGGAUGAGUUGUGGGUAGCGGUGAAAUUCCAAACGAACUUGGAGAUAGCUGGUUCUCUCCGAAAUAGCUUUAGGGCUAGCCUCGCAAAGAGGAUGCUGGAGGUAGAGCUCUGUUUGGACUAGGGGCCCGUCAAGGGUUACUGAAUUCAGAUAAACUGCGAAUUCCAGACAUUUAUGUGCGGGAGUCAGACUGCGAGUGAUAAGAUCCGUAGUCGAAAGGGAAACAGCCCAGAUCACCAGUUAAGGUCCCAAAAUUCAUGCUAAGUGGAAAAGGAUGUGGAGUUGCGCAGACAACUAGGACGUUGGCUCAGAAGCAGCCAUCAUUCAAAGAGUGUGUAAUAGCUCACUAGUCGAGUGACGCCGCGCCGAAAAUUUACCGGGGCUAAGCAUGAUACCGAAACUGUGGAUGUGCGUUUAUGCAC